ACAAGCGGUGGAGCAUUGUGGUUUAAUUCGAAGCAACGCGAAGAACCUUACCAGGUCUUGACAUCCCGAUGCUAUUUCUAGAGAUAGAAAGUUACUUCGGUACAUCGGUGACAGGUGGUGCAUGGUUGUCGUCAGCUCGUGUCGUGAGAUGUUGGGUUAAGUCCCGCAACGAGCGCAACCCCUAUUGUUAGUUGCCAUCAUUCAGUUGGGCACUCUAGCGAGACUGCCGGUAAUAAACCGGAGGAAGGUGGGGAUGACGUCAAAUCAUCAUGCCCCUUAUGACCUGGGCUACACACGUGCUACAAUGGUUGGUACAACGAGUUGCGAGUCGGUGACGGCGAGCUAAUCUCUUAAAGCCAAUCUCAGUUCGGAUUGUAGGCUGCAACUCGCCUACAUGAAGUCGGAAUCGCUAGUAAUCGCGGAUCAGCACGCCGCGGUGAAUACGUUCCCGGGCCUU
rnacentral:rRNA from 1 species